CCUAGUUGCAGAAAAAUGGGAUUCAUUUACGGAACGCCGAAUUACCCCCUAAAUUUUCAAAUUUUCAGCACCCCAGGAAGCCACGGAAGCCGUUUGACCCACUUUUUUUUUUAUCAACUCUUUUUCGAUGGGUUGUCCCUUGUCCGUUUAUUUUGCAAAUAAAUAGAUAAAUUCCAUAGCCAUCUAGCGGUCAAAAUCGUCACUUGAAGGAGGAAUUUAAAUAGAUGACACCUUUAAGGGAGGAGGGGUCUACCUAACUAUUGUUGAUCGAUUGUUAGGUCGAUUUCGAUCGCCAUUGUACAGUUAAUGGCGUCGCGCAUUGGAAGUAUAUGCGUGUGUGAAUUUCGAUGAGUGUUGCACACCUUGGAGGCCUCGUUGACUCGCCAGUCGAAGAUACGUGUGCACAGUGUUAGUGCUUGGGUGCCUCGAGAGGAAAUUGCAGAACAUAGCCAUACAGUAUGGUGUCCUUCAACAAUUUCCAACCAUGAAAUGAGUCACAUGUGACUGAGACAAACAAAUGUUGCUUUUGCAUAUUGAAUGUUUAAAUUUUUAUAAUUGUAUUUCAUACAAGCUUCUGGCCUGCGUCAGCCAAUAGGGUCCAGAAAUCGUAUGGUCCGCUUUGACUGUGUAGUGUAACCUACAUCCUUCCUAACUGAAAAUGUUUGGCUAUGUUAUAGCUUCAACAGUGUUGGAACAAACGAGUCUGGAGAUGAAGCUUCAAUUUGGGAGGUGAUUUGUCAACUGUUGGUUGAGAUAGCAAAAGAGCAUGGAUUGGAUCAACAUUUUGUUCUGCACUCAUCUUUAGAAUCCUGGUGUGCUCGUAGUUGUAGCGGAACAUUCUCGUUUGUUCAGGUCACAAAUAACGUACGAGAAAUCUAUCAUCCACAUGAAACGUGGAGCCUGUUCUGGCUCACCGAUUUGUUCCCUGUGCGUCCAAAAUUUUCACCCUUCCAGAGAUUAUUGUCCGCGUCCGAGAAAGUUGUACGACGAUGAUACCUGAAUCGCUUGCUUAACUGACGAGCUAAAAAUUACGAGCCAAUGGCCAACCCAGUGGAAUCCUGGAUACUUAAUCAUACGUGGUCAACACAAUUUCAAGUAGUCAGCCCACCCUGAUGGUAAAUUGGUAAAAUGAAACCACACAUGACCUAUUAUUUUAGGUUCGACAUUUGUGGAUUGCAAGGAGGUUUCCCAUUGGAGAAACGCGAGCAGCAGUGUAACGAUUACAUCCGGCGUACGGUCGGACGUGAUAAAAUCGUGUUGCGCCGUUUGUGCUGCCCUUUUUCAUAAAACACUUCUGCAGGUUGGCGACGCGUCGCGAGUGCAGGCCAUCUAUAUCGAUAACGGUUUCCUGCGUAAAGACGAAUAAGAACAGGUCGUCACUAGUUUACAGCAACUCGGGCUCAAUCUUCGGGUAAUUUGAGAUACUUUUCUAGACCGUUCAGAAUCUUAUAAUUGGAAAACAUUUCCAAAAUUCGUCGUCCUGUCACAUCUCGGAAUCUGUUUGGGUAUAGCGUUUUGGGUUUAAAUCCUUACAGAAUUGAAUGGCUACCUUUGUCGAAUGCUUUGUUUCGUUUACAUCGAUUAUGCUUCAAUCCUUUACAAGUGGGAAAAGGUUGCGUUUAAGCAACAAGAAGGUAUUGUGCGUGUCCACGUACGAAUCAUGGCUUAUUGGGUGAGCAUCAGAUUGCGGCGCUGGAUGAUUGUGGAUCAAAUCCCAUUAGAGGUAGAAAGUACACAAUAUGUUUGCUGAUUCACUUUAUUGACGUUAUCACUGACAGUUUACAAGCGUUUUUGCAAUUUUAAAUUAUUACAAGUGUGAACAUGUUAACUUUAAACUCCUGGUACAAGUUAAAAUUGUGAUUCAUGGCUCAAUGGUAGAGCAUCGGAGUGGUACGCCGAAGGUUUAGGGUUCGAUUCCCAAUAGUCACGUUACUUUCCAAUGUAAAUAUAAAUAUCUUCGCGAAAUAAAACGUUCACAGCAUA